AGAGUUUGAUCCUGGCUCAGGACGAACGCUGGCGGCGUGCCUAACACAUGCAAGUCGAACGCGCUCCAUUCGGUAGCAAUACUGAUGAAGAGCGAGUGGCGAACGGGUGAGUAGCACGUGAGCAACCUGCCCCGAAGACUGGGACAACACCGGGAAACCGGUGCUAAUACCGGAUAUCCUUAGCGGACCGCAUGAUCCGA
rnacentral:rRNA from 1 species